AAACUUUAUAAAUCCCACUUAUAUUUAUAUAUAUCGUCGUCUCUCUCUCUCAAAGCUCUCCACGUUUUUUACGGACGGCGGAGAAUCAUCAUCGGUCGGAGAAGGACAUAAAAAAGGGAAAAAAAUGGAUGGAUGUGCCGGUAAGCGAUCAGUUGACCGGAUGGUUCUGCCUCGAAAAGCAAGCGGUCCUGUACUACGUGAGAAUAUGAAGAAGAACGAUGAAAAGAGCGUCUCUUUCUGCAGCCGAAUCGCCUGUAGUGCAAAGGUAACUUCCACCAUGGGAACCAACAGGAUUGGCUCUACGGCUGACAAUACAAAAGUUGGCAGGCCUGGAAAGGCAAUUGUUGCGAGUUCAUCUCGAGCUCCCGGUGGAUUUGGAAACUUAAGAAAGCCAGCCACAGGUACUACUGGCAGGAGACAGCCCUCAUCUAAUGUGGACACAGGUUCUUCAGAGAAGAGCAGUAGUCUUGAUCAUCCAGCUGCGGUUAAGCCCAUCCUUCCUCGCCUAAAGACUAGGAGAAGCGCAAUCAGUGUUCAGUCUCAAAACACCGUCUCUAGAGAAGUCGUAGGAAGCUCAAGUAGAGGAACCAUUAGAAGUAGUCAUCAGAAACCUGGCUUGCGCACUCGAGAUACUCUAGUGAGUGUGAGUCCCUCUGUUUCUUCUUCUUCUGGUAGCGACCACACUCUAAGAGGUGGUCUGAGCAGGAACGGAUUGAGAAACUUGAGGUGCAACGCUGUCUCUGAUGUACUUCCAACCAAAUCAAGCUCUGGAACAAAAGUCAGUGUGACUAAAAAGAAAAACUCUGAUGGAGAGAGCAGCUCCUCUAGCCAAGGCAGUAAGAGUAGUGUGUCUGUGAUGAAGGGAAGGAAUCAAAGCUCUACACAUGGAAACGGCAUCACAGUUUCUGAUAACAGAAGGAAACGUACGGUACCUACCAUCAGGGAUAACAGUGUUGUUUCAAGUAGUGGUAGGAGAUCAUGGCGACUUGGAGCUGCUGUUGCAUCCCCUGCUACUUCUCGGCAAACGCCUCAACCUGCAACACCAAUCAAUCCCAAUCCUUCUCUUUCUGUUACUCCAUCAAAUAGUCACAGUAGUACCGACUGGUUAAGUAGCAUGAUGCCUGGUAGCCCCUCAGAAGCUCACCCUUCAAGCUCUUUGGUGGACCGGGAUGGUUUAAGUGGCUACAACAUGAAUGGAAUUGCAGAGGCACUGUUGGCACUGGAAAGAAUUGAUCAAGAUCAAGAGCUUACAUACGAGCAACUGGCUUCUUUAGAGACGAAUCUAUUCGCCAGUGGUAUGAUUAGAUUCUACGAUCAGCAUAGCGAUAUGAGGCUUGACAUUGAUAACAUGUCAUAUGAGGAACUACUAGCUUUGGGGGAUGAAAUAGGUACAGUGAGCACAGCUCUAAGCGAAGAAGCACUCUCGAGAAGCCUCAAGAAAAGCAUUUAUCAAGAGACGGAUGAAACUGGUCCCAUUUCUCUGGAUAAGGCUGAUGAUAUCAAGUGCAGUAUUUGCCAGGAAGAGUAUGUCGAUGGAGAUGAAGUAGGGACUAUGCCAUGUGAACAUAUGUACCAUGUGAGCUGUGUACAACAAUGGCUACGGAUGAAGAAUUGGUGCCCUAUCUGCAAAACCUCUGCUGAAGAAAAAAUGUCGUAGUGAUGGGAUGAUUCCAAGAUGAUGCAGAUACAUUGUUUCUUCUUCUUCUUCUUCACCAGGCAAUUUUUUUACAAUAGAUGCAAUUUAUGAGUUUUGGAUAAUCCGAGUAACUCUACCCAUGGCCACUGUUCUUCCUGAUGAUCUAAGGAACACUCUUCCCAGAGCUCUACUUUCUGAAAAUGUUUCCACACAAACUGGAUGCUGAAGACUCACCUGCAGAUUAUUACAACAAAUCAUCGUUAUAUAAAAAAACAGUUUUGUAAUGUUUCAGACACUAGUUUAAGAGAGAUUUCAAACAUCCAGGAUUGCACUUUGUUUAGCAGUUAGACAACGAGGAGACUAUUUUUGUUGGCUCCCCUGUUUUGGGGAUCAAGCAUUGCCACAAGUUUCACAACUGUUGCUACUUCCUUUGCAUGGUGCACAUGAAACUCCAACUAUAAAUGAUAUGAUUUUUUAAAUUGGAAAGGAUCAGAAAGCUUGAGACGGAUAUAAUAGGAGAUUAAGCGAAGGAGGGAGGUCUUUACUUUUUUACCUGAGAACCGAGAAAGAUCGGUGUUGCACCUUCCAAGACGAGCACCACCAGUUCCAAGAUCUGAGUCUGAGGUGUACAUCUUCUUCGCUCAUAUGUUUUUCCAUAUUGAUCCUAUAGUACUCGUCUUAUAUUCAUUGGUACCA